UACGAAGGGGACUAGCGUUGUUCGGAAUCACUGGGCGUAAAGCGCACGUAGGCGGAUAUGUCAGUCAGGGGUGAAAUCCCGGGGCUCAACCUCGGAACUGCCUUUGAUACAGCAUGUCUUGAGUCCGAUAGAGGUGGGUGGAAUUCCUAGUGUAGAGGUGAAAUUCGUAGAUAUUAGGAAGAACACCAGUGGCGAAGGCGACUCACUGGUCCGGUACUGACGCUGAGGUGCGAAAGCGUGGGGAGCAAACAGG
rnacentral:rRNA from 1 species